CGGUGGCGCGAUAGGAAACGAUAAGGCACGUCAGGGAAUCGCUGCACAAGUUUCUCAACUGGGCUACAUCGGUGGUCAUUCGUGCGACUGGGUUUGCGAUACACGAGAUCAUGAUGCGGCAUUUUUCCGGAUUGUGUCUCUUCUUUACCAUUCUCGUCUUGCGAGAAGUGUCUACUCAAGAUGAGAGAACAAAGAUUGUUGGCGGGACAGAGGCAGCUCCUGGCGAGUUUCCUUUCGUGGU